rnacentral:tRNA from 1 species
CCCCCGUUAGCCCAACAGGUAGAGGCGGCCGAUUCAAGCUCGGCGCGGUCCCGGUUCGAAUCCGGGAUGGGGGA